GGGGUUGUGGCUCAGUGGUAGAGUGCUCGCCUAGCAUGCGUGUGAGGCACUGGGUUUGAUCCUCAGCCCCA
rnacentral:tRNA from 1 species